UACGGAGGGUGCAAGCGUUAUCCGGAAUCACUGGGUUUAAAGGGUGCGUAGGCGGAUAUAUAAGUCAGAGGUGAAAGCUUGGAGCUUAACUGUUAAAUUGCCAUUGAUACUGUUGGGCUAGAAUCAGGUUGAGGUCAGCGGAAUGUGACAUGUAGCGGUGAAAUGCAUAGAUAUGUCAUAGGACACCAAUUGCGAAGGCAGCUUGCUGGGCUUUGAUUGACGCUGAGGCACGAAAGCGUGGGGAGCUAACAGG
rnacentral:rRNA from 1 species